AUGGCUCACAAAGACCGACUAUACACAAAUGAAUGCCGUUUCCGCCGAGAGCUAGCCACCUCUGAUGCUUGCUCAUUUUGCGGGCAGUGCGAAAGCAUCAACCAUCUCCUAUUCCACUGUGCUCCCCUCAAGCCGCUUUGGGAUGAGCUCGGCAACCUGCAUGAAGGACGCACCAAUAAACUCCUCCAUAUUUGGCAGGGGGCUACUUCGAACAAAGUCAGGUCCACGCUAAUCCUUGCUAUCCUGUGGAACAUCUGGAAACGACGCAACGCCAAAGUUUUUCGGCAAUGCAACCAAGGCACUCACUGCAUUAUCCAGGACGCGGCUGAUGACCUUGCCCUCUGGGCCCAUCGAUGUAACAAUUCUUUUAAAAAAAGUCUUCUUAGAGACUGGGGCUCCAUGUUGUAUCACCUAGCUGCGAGAUUGUAG
rnacentral:rRNA from 1 species